rnacentral:rRNA from 1 species
AGUGAACGCUGGCGGUAGGCCUAACACAUGCAAGUCGAACGGCAGCACAGUAAGAGCUUGCUCUUACGGGUGGCGAGUGGCGGACGGGUGAGGAAUACAUCGGAAUCUACUUUUUCGUGGGGGAUAACGUAGGGAAACUUACGCUAAUACCGCAUACGACCUACGGGUGAAAGCAGGGGAUCUUCGGACCUUGCGCGAUUGAAUGAGCCGAUGUCGGAUUAGCUAGUUGGCGGGGUAAAGGCCAACCAAGGCGACGAUCCGUAGCUGGUCUGAGAGGAUGAUCAGCCACACUGGAACUGAGACACGGUCCAGACUCCUACGGGAGGCAGCAGUGGGGAAUAUUGGACAAUGGGGGCAAGCCUGAUCCAGCCAUCCCGCGUGGGUGAAGAAGGCCUUCGGGUUGUAAAGCCCUUUUGUUGGGAAAGAAAAGCAGCAGGUUAAUACCCCGCUGUUCUGACGGUACCCAAAGAAUAAGCACCGGCUAACUUCGUG